rnacentral:tRNA from 1 species
GAUCCGGUAGCCAAGUGGUAAGGCGAGGGUCUGCAAAACCCUUACGCGCGGGUUCGAUUCCCGCCCGGAUCU